GCGGACCUAGCUCAGCGGUAGAGCACCGGACAUUCCUCCGGAGGUCGCGGGUUCGAUUCCCGUUGUCUGCUCCA
rnacentral:tRNA from 1 species